AUUGAACGCUGGCGGCAUGCCUAACACAUGCAAGUCGAGCGGAGCGGCGGACGGGUGAGUAAUGCCUAGGAAUCUUCCUGUUAGUGGGGGAUAACGUCCGGAAACGGGCGCUAAUACCGCCUACUAUCAGAUUAGCCUAGGUCGGAGUAGCUAGUUGUUGGGGUAAAGGCCUACCCAGGCGACGAUCCGUAACUGGUCUGAGCGUAUGAUCAGUCACACUGGAACUGAGAAACGGUCCAGACGCCUACGUGAGGAAGCAGUGGGGAAUAUUGGACAAUGGGCGAAAGCCUGAGCCAGCCAUGCCGCGUGUGUGAAGAAGGUCUUCGGAUUGUAAAGCACUUUAAGUUGGGAGGCGUUACCAACAGAAUAAGCACCGGCUAACUUCGUGCCAGCAGCCGCGGUAAUAC
rnacentral:rRNA from 1 species